AAAUAUUCAUGUGCCACUGACAGGGCUGCAAAUAUUUAUUAAAGCUUUGUUUCAGGAUUUUGUCUUGUUGUUUUUUUUUUGUCGUUUUAGACCAAACUUAGCCACAUCUAAAAAGUGAGCAGGCAACAUUGACACCAACUCUCUUUUUGCGUUUUUUUGUCGCCAUUUUGUUAAUAUUUAGCUCUUCGCACCCUUACCUCCUUGCUAGAAGCACGUGUGCUUGUUUUGCAAUCCACGAUGUCGCACAUUCUUGUGAAAUGGGUGGAGGACGAAAAGUGGGACGUAUAUCCCGUCAGUGCCCUGGCCGACGCGGAUGUGGCCUUCCGCUUAAUAUCCCAGCAGGGAUGCAUCAAACAACUGCGCAGAACGGUUCACCGCGUGAGCUGGAAGGAAGGAGCGCCACCGGCCUUGGCAGAACUUCUUGCCUUCGGAAAUCCACAGCAACUCGAAAAAAAGAGAGCCCGUCUCGUGUCGGAGGCUGCUGCGCAAUCUGAUCUGCCAACAGAAAACAUCAACUCAUGCAGCACCUGUGCUGCUCAGGUAAAGCAGCUUGUCGAAGAGAAUGAGGCUCUCAGAGCUGAAGUAGAGAGGAUGAAGCGGACGGCAGAGGAGCGCGAUCACGUUGCUGAGGCAGCCAAAUUAGUGAAAAGGCUGCGAAAGGCCCUGGGUAACGUCGAAACCAAAACACAACAAGCAGCUGAACCUGUUGUUGCUUGCCCAAAGUUCUCUGCAAGCUCCAAGUCUGGCGACUGUUCCAACAUCCACAUUCUUUGGUAUUUAUGUGUGUGUAGCUCUAGGAGUGUUAGCGAGUGCCACUCAGGCCAAUGGUAACACGUAGUAUGUGAACUUUAUGAGUAGGCAGCUGGCCAAUAAACUGUCGUAUGUUAUUUUAAGGUAUCAAACCUGCGUGAUUCAAGACCCUUGCUAUGAAAUGAAGGAGAAAGGGAACUGAAGGCCCACUUUUGUGAAACACAUUGAUGUGCAACCAACAGAUAUGCCAAGUAUAGCAUAGGGGAAGUUAUUGUUUUUCUUUAAGUGUAGAAAUGAUAAAGGAAAAUGAAAGUGGACGAAAAAAGAUACCGACGAUUACAGUACUCCCUAAUGUGAAAUAUGAGCGCAGCCCUAUACGUGUUUUCAUUUCGCGAUAUUUUCAGGCAAAGAAUGUAGUAGAGUCGGCAAUUGUCGUAUAUCUGAUCUGCGGGUCAAACACGUCGGCUUUUAUACAUGACUCGUCGAAGGUUCCAGUGCAAUCGGUGGUGCCGCUUGGCUUCCAGAAAGUGCUACACAAUCAGAAACAAUUGCUAACCAUGACAAUCGAAACAAGACCAAAAAAGCGCAAGCGAUGGGCUGAUGUGAGCAGACGAUAGUACAAAUCUAGCCGUUCGGCUGAGACCAGACACAAGGACGCAUGGAGUGGACGGGCGGGUCCACAUGAAACCAGUUUCCUGCACGCACGUCACUGAAGGAGCCGCUCUCAUCGGUCUGCGCCGUUCACGGCUCACGCCUUUCAUCUUUUGCUGUUUUGCUCAUUCAAUUGGUUACGCCGCCGCUGAUGUUCACUGCAGUAACCAGGCUAUUAAGAGCUGCGCUCUAAAAACUUGUCGCUGUAAGUCAUGUCAGUAACUGCUGCAGGUUACCGCAUCGUUUCAGUACUUCAAACUGCUAUUUGUUCCUAGAUAUGAAGCUGCCAGCAAAUUCUCAAUCUCUUGCUUACAGAAGUUUAUGCGCUAACUGCCAAAUGAUUUUUUUUUUAUGCUCCCAGGUCGACAUAGGGGGGGGGGCGUCACUGUGGAGAAAGGCACGCUCGAAAAACUGAGCCGUGCCUGUGAGAGUGGCCCUGGCAAAUUUGCCAGGGCUCUUUUGCGAAUUGUUUUUACAGAGGAUGAGCUGCGAGGAAGGACACUGCUGGGUGGCAGGAGUAAUUUACACAUUGACCAGCCACUGAAGGAGGCCUUGGACCCUGUUCGUGUUCAAGCUGUGAUUGACUACACAUGCUCCAAGUUUCCUUCGGCCAGCAUCUCCUACAUAAAGAACAGCCUGUCCUCAAUGCUCGCAAGGGAGUUGAAAGAAUAAUUGACAAAUAAACUGCAGAGCCAUUGUAUGUACCAAAAGAACCCCGAUUCAUGUGCUUUUUCUUAAUCACAAAGUUAGACGUUUCUUUUUGCAUAACAUUACAGGGAAAGAGGCCUUGUAAUGGAAAGCCAAGAAAUGCACCUUGAAGAUGUCAGUGGAGAAUAUCAAGAUUCAUUGAUUUCAUGUUGCAUUCCACUUUACAUUUCAUGGAAGUACCAUAGUUCAUCUAUGGAAAUUUCAUAGAAGUACAAUUGUUCAUCCAUGGGAAUUUCGUAGAAGUACAAUUGUUAUUCCAUAGAAAUUCCAUAUGAAAUCAACGCAAUAACUCGUCAAUGAAAUUACAAUGGUUCCACGGUGGCCACUUUUCAAUACUGCUCAACAAAUCUACAAUGAAGGGACAAUAGUAUUUCAACAAAAAUUUUGUUGAUUGAGCAACAGAAC